rnacentral:rRNA from 1 species
GGAUGCGAUCAUACCAGCACUAAAGCACCGGAUCCCAUCAGAACUCCGAAGUUAAGCGUGCUUGGGCGAGAAUAGUACUAGGAUGGGUGACCUCUUGGGAAGUCCUCGUGUUGCAUUCC